AGCGAACGCUGGCGGCAGGCCUAACACAUGCAAGUCGAGCGGCCGUAGCAAUACGGCAGCGGCAGACGGGAGAGUAACACGUGGGAACGCGCCCUUCGGUCUGGAAUAACCCAGGGAAACUUGGGCUAAUACCGGAUACGCCCUUACGGGGAAAGAUUUAUUGCCGAAGGAACGGCCCGCGUCCGAUUAGCUAGUUGGUGAGGUAAUGGCUCACCAAGGCGACGAUCGGUAGCUGGUCUGAGAGGAUGACCAGCCUCACUGGGACUGAGACACGGCCCAGACUCCUACGGGAGGCAGCAGUGGGGAAUAUUGGACAAUGGGCGCAAGCCUAAUCCAGCCAUGCCGCGUGGGUGAUGAAGGCCCUAGGGUUGUAAAGCCCUUUCAGCGGGGAAGAUAAUGACGGUACCCGCAGAAGAAGCCCCGGCUAACUUCGUGCCAGCAGCCGCUGUAAAAC
rnacentral:rRNA from 1 species